rnacentral:sRNA from 1 species
CACCGCCUGGGGAGUACGACCGCAAGGUUAAAACUCAAAUGAAUUGACGGGGACCCGCACAAGUAGUGGAGCAUGUGGUUUAAUUCGAAGAUACGCGCAGAACCUUACCAACACUUGACAUGUUCGUCGCGACUUUAAGAGAUUAAAGUUUUCGGUUCGGCCGGACGAAACACAGGUGCUGCAUGGCUGUCGUCAGCUCGUGUCGUGAGAUGUUGGGUUAAGUCCCGCAACGAGCGCAACCCUCACUUUUAGUUGCCAUCAUUUAGUUGGGCACUCUGAAAGAACUGCCAGUGAUAAGCUGGAGGAAGGUGGGGAUGACGUCAAGUCCUCAUGGCCCUUACGUGUUGGGCUACACACGUGCUACAAUGGCAUUUACAAUAGGAAGCAAGACGGCGACGUUAAGCAAAUCCUAAAAAAAUGCCUCAGUUCGGAUUGUACUCUGCAACUCGAGUACAUGAAGCUGGAAUUACUAGUAAUCGCGGAUCAGCGCGCCGCGGUGAAUACGUUCCCGGGUCUUGUACACACCGCCCGUCACACCAUGGGAGUUGGUUCUACCUUAAGGCAAAGGUUAAAAACUUUGACCACGGUAUAGUCAGCGACUGGGGUGAAGUCGUAACAAGGUAGCCGUAGGGGAACCUGCGGCUGGAUUACCUCCUUUCUAAGGAUGAACAAAAUCUCCGAUUUUGUUCUAAAUAUUUAACAGGUUAAUGUUGACCGUCCGCAUUUCUCUUCUUAAUAUUUUUUGUGUUUCUCUUAAAUACAAUGAGGGCCGGUAGCUCAGUUGGUUAGAGCACACCCUUGAUAAGGGUGGGGUCGAUAGUUCGAGUCUAUCUCGGCCCACCAAUAUUAUCCGGGGGAUUAGCUCAGCUGGGAGAGCGCCUGAUUUGCAUUCAGGAGGUCAGCGGUUCGAUCCCGCUAUCCUCCACCAUGAAACACUUAGUUAUUUUAUUUUGUGAAGAAAUUUUUUUAUAUUAUCAAUAUCUAUAUCCGAUUGUUCGAAUAGAUGAACAAUCAAUAAAUAUUCGAAUAGAUGAAUAUUUAAUAAAAAUUUGAUUCAACACAGAAUUUUUUUCUG